rnacentral:rRNA from 1 species
AUUGAACGCUGGCGGCAGGCUUAACACAUGCAAGUCGAGCGGGGUGAUGGUGCUUGCACUAUCACUUAGCGGCGGACGGGUGAGUAAUGCUUAGGAAUCUGCCUAUUAGUGGGGGACAACAUCUCGAAAGGGAUGCUAAUACCGCAUACGUCCUACGGGAGGAAGCAGGGGAUCACUUGUGACCUUGCGCUAAUAGAUGAGCCUAAGUCGGAUUAGCUAGUUGGUGGGGUAAAGGCCUACCAAGGCGACGAUCUGUAGCGGGUCUGAGAGGAUGAUCCGCCACACUGGGACUGAGACACGGCCCAGACUCCUACGGGAGGCAGCAGUGGGGAAUAUUGGACAAUGGGGGGAACCCUGAUCCAGCCAUGCCGCGUGUGUGAAGAAGGCCUUAUGGUUGUAAGGCACUUUAAGCGAGGAGGAGGCUCUUUUGGUUAAUACCCAAGAUGAGUGGACGUUACUCGCAGAAUAAGCACCGGCUAACUCUGUGCCAGCAGCCGCCGUAA